GAUGAACGCUGGCGGCGUGCCUAAUACAUGCAAGUCGAGCGAACAGACGAGGAGCUUGCUCCUCUGACGUUAGCGGCGGACGGGUGAGUAACACGUGGAUAACCUACCUAUAAGACUGGGAUAACUUCGGGAAACCGGAGCUAAUACCGGAUAAUAUAUUGAACCGCAUGGUUCAAUAGUGAAAGACGGUUUUGCUGUCACUUAUAGAUGGAUCCGCGCCGCAUUAGCUAGUUGGUAAGGUAACGGCUUACCAAGGCAACGAUGCGUAGCCGACCUGAGAGGGGGGUCGGCCCACCUGGAACUGAGACCGGGUCCAGACCCCUAGGGGAGGCAGCAGUGGGGAAUCUUCCGCAAUGGGGGAAAGCCUGACGGAGAAACGCCGGGGGAGGGAUGAAGGUCUUCGGACCGUAAAACUCUUUUAUUAGGGAAAAAAAAAUGUUUAAGUAACUAUCCACGUUUUGACGGUACCUAAUCAAAAAGCCACGGCUAACUACGU
rnacentral:rRNA from 1 species